UUUGAGUCAUAGGACAAGACAAAAUGGGAUAUGUGUGUUUUAAAUGUGGGAUGUCUUUAGGACAUAACAUAAGGAAUUUUUUUUCUCACCUAAGAGUAAUUCAUAACACAUAUUCAACUUCAAGAUAUUUCCAGUGUGCUCAAAGUGGAUGCAAACGUACAUUUAAUCAUAUGAGAUCAUUUAGGCGACAUCUACUAGGGCAUGCUAUUGAGUUUGACACAGAAAUAAGAGAAACUAGUUAUGUUGGACAUUGUGAAAGAGCAACAAGUCCUCAUUUGAGCACCAUAUGCAAUUUAGAAAGUGAUGAGGCAACAUUGGAACACUGGGAUGAUUUGGAGGAUGUGAGCAUAAAAGACAGAGUUGCACUCUUCUUAGCUAGAUUGAAGGCCAAAUCCUCACAGACCUUAAGUGGAAUCAGAGAUGUUGUUGAAAACACAUCUUGUCUGAUCAGUGAUCUAGUUGGCAACCUAAAGAGAAAAACUGCUGCAUUCUUAAAAGAGACUGGACAGUCUGAAACUACAAAAGCUGAGAAACUUUUAGAGGAGUUUACUUCAGCUUCUGAACCAUUUCAAGGAUUUGAAUCAGAAUACAGACAAAUGAAGCAUUUCACCCAGUCAGGGUACUUCAUACAACCUGAAGCAAUUCCUUUUCCUGGCUUUUCAUAUAUGCAGGAAAUUGAUGGAGAGACAGGGAGAGUGAAACAAGUAGCAGUACGAGACACCUUUCAGUAUGUUCCUCUCAAAUCUAUGUUAAAAGUCGUUCUUGAAAGUCCUGGAACAAUUAAGAAAAUUCUUGAGUGGCAAAAAAUGAAAAAGACAGGCCUUGAGGAUUUUAAAGAUGGAGCAUUGUUUGCAACCAAUCUUCUUUUUUCUGAAGAUGUGUCUAUUCCAUUAGCACUUUACAAUGAUGACUGCGAGAUGGUUAAUCCACUUGGAUCAAAAACAUCAGUCCACAAAUUAGGGUUUAUAUACUAUACCAUGAAGUGCUUGCCACAAGAGUUUCUUUCUAGUUUAAAAUCUCACUUUUUGUUGGCAGUGUACAAAACUGAUGAUGUAAAAACCUAUGGACUAAAUGCUGUAUUAGAGCCAAUUGUUUAUGAAAUUAAAGAUCUGGAAAUGAAUGGCUUUCAUGUAGAAACUCCAUAUUUCAAAGGGACUGUCAAGGCUGGAGUGGCACAGGUCUGUGGGGACAACCUUGGACUAAACAGCAUACUGGGUUACACAGAAAGUUUUGUUGGAAAUAGUGUGUGUAGGUGGUGUCGCAUACACAGAGAUGUUCUGAAGGUACAGACAAUUGAAGACCCUUCAGCAUUGCGUGACAAAGCUAAUUACAAUUCGGACUGUCUUCUACACAACCAGUUUCAAACUGGUAUUAAAAGAGAGAGUUUUCUUAAUAAGUUAUUAUUCUAUCAUGUCACCGACAAUGUUGCUCCUGAUAUUAUGCAUGACAUUCUUGAAGGAGUUGGAGGUUAUGAAGUUAAGCUUGUGUUAAAUGCACUGAUUGAGCAAAAAGUUCUCACUAUUGACCAGCUGAACUAUAGACUGACCAGCUUUGACUAUGGGUUCUGUGAUAGUCGCAACAAGCCAUCUGCUUUCAAACUCCAUGAUCUCAAAAAUCCUGAUUCUGCAUUUAGGCAAACAGCAUCACAGACAUGGUGCCUACUCAGGCUCCUACCUCUCAUGAUUGGGGAUUUGGUUCCAGAGGGAAACCAGUUUUGGGAGUUACACCUUUCAUUGCUUAGCUGUAUGGAGUUGAUUUUUUCUCCUUCGUUAACACAGGGAGCAGUAAUGUUCUUGAAAUAUCUUAUUCAGGAACAUCACUGUCUUUAUUUGGAGCUCUUUCCUGGUAAACACUUAAAACCCAAACACCAUUUCAUGUUACAUUAUCCUGAAGCCAUAAGAAAAUUAGGGCCUGUCGUUCACUUCUGGUCCAUGCGCUUUGAGGCGAAACAUCGAUUUUUCAAACGAGUUAGUCAUGUGAACUGCAGUUUUCGUAAUAUAUGUAAAACCCAGGCCUACAGACAUCAAAUGAUGAUGUGCUACAUUCUUCUGUCUGGUCAGAUGUUCUCUCAUGAUCUUGAAGUUGGGCCUGGAAGCACUAAAAUUCUUGGUGCUGUAGAUGAUUUUGAAAAGGUGACAAGUGGAUUGGAGGAAUUUGCUGUUUUAACAGAAGUGUUUGUGCCAUCUUGGAUAAAGUACAAAGGUACAAAAUACAGGCCAGGAAUGACAAUGUUAUUGUCUCACUCUGAAGAUGGGGAACCCCAGUUUGGAAUCAUAAGGAGAAUUUUGACAAUAAACUCAAGUAUCAAAUUUAUUGUGAACAACUGGGAAACCACUGGCUUUGAAAGGCAUUUCUUUUCCUUCACCGUGUGUCCCACUUCAGAAUUUGGGGCACUGGACAUUGAAUCCAUUGAUGAUCAUCACCCCCUACAUGCUGUGAAAGUCCGAAAAGAAAACAGCAAUGAGUUUUGCAUUUCUAUGAGAUAUAGGCUUUUUUAAAGACUGACAUGUUGUGUAUAUAGUUUUCUCCAUAAUUUUGCAUUUGUCUUGACCUAUGACCAAUAGCUACAUUUUUCAAAGUGAGAACUCAUUUAUUAACUAAAUUAUAUUAAAAAAAAGUUAUUGUGGAGAGGAUUAUCAUCAUUGACAUUACAAUGACAUCUAGCCCUAAAACAACUGAAGAUGCUGAUCCUACACCACAUGCUGAAUUAGAGAGUGGAGUUUCUUCUGUUGGAAGAGCAGCAUUUAACAUCCGUGAGAUCCUCAGUGCCUCCCCUGAAGGUAGACCUGUGGUUAUCAGUCUUGAUGGAAAUCAGCAUAUAUCCAUUCGUGAAAGACGGUGCAUGGUCAGAACACUUGUGUCACACCUGAUGGAUCAAUAUGGAGAAAACCCAUCUUCAGACACUAAAGCAAUUCUGGCAUCUUCGAUUGUGGACCAGUUUCCAUGUUUAAGAGACAGCCAUGGCACAGGAUAUGACGCCUGGUUUACCCGCGGAAGACAACACAGGCCAGCAACUGGCUUUCUGGAGGAGCGUCUCCGUAAUGUAAGGAAAAGGCAUCAACCAAGGAAGAAGAUGCUUUCAGCCCCAGAAGCUCCACCAAAAAGAUCAAGUUUGCCUGAACCAACCAUCAGUGCUGAGCGUGCCAUCCAGAUGACAGAAUGGCUAAAAAAUAACUUCUGGCCCGCAGACCAGGUUGUCCAAUACAUGCGGGAAACUGCAGUAUAUCGCGCAGGAUGGAUCCGCUCAAGUGGGACAAUCCCAAUGCAGCAGAUUUUUGCAGAGUUCCCACGUUUGUUGGACACACCAGGGAUGAUUUUGCAGGACUUUGCCGUUUUAUAUCCACAGUCUUGUGGAAAACUGACAGAGAACUGGAACACCUUGUUCUCAUCAAAGGUCAUUCGCAUGGGGAAGAAGGAGGAGAGCGGUCUUCUGCCUGAGAUUGAGUUGCUUCCACAAGACAAACAAGGUGACGUGGCACUGCAGCUGCUGCCAAAACUCCUCUCUGCUGUUCCCUACAGAGUUGGGCGAAAGGUGGUCAGACCCAGCAACCUUGAAGUCCAGCAAGCCUUCAUUGAUGUCCAGCCAAUUGGGACAAAUAUGGUGGAAUAUCUUGGAAGUACAGCAACAGAGCAUCCACGUGUUCUCAUGCUUGGGGACAGGUAUUGUUGUUCCCAAGCAUUUGUCGUCAUAAAUGGAACUGCUUUGGAAUAUCCAUCUCUUUUGGGGGCCGUUGACGGCUGUUUCAAAUCAUUCUUCGUUUUUGAUGUGAGUUAUCCGAAGUCGUGUAUCCAGAUUUGGGAUUUUCUCCAAACUGUGAUAUAUGAAAUCCCAGGAAACGAGUCACCCCCGAUAAAAUUAAUGAGGGCACAGUUGGAGGCCAUGGAAGAAUAAAUGCAAUUCUUCAAUAACCCUUAAAUAAGUUUUAAAUGUUCUGAUUGAAAAACCUUUUUGUUACUAUGUUACUAUUUUUUUUUACAUUUCCUUCAAACUGAUGAAAAUAUUUCGUUGUGUACACCAAUAAAGUUAAAAAAGGGUGCAGAUUUAAUCAACUGUUUAUAUGUAACUUUUACAUGUCUGUAUUAAAAAUUUCAUGUAUGUUGGAAUGUAUAACAUUUGCAAAUAAAAGUUCUUUUGAGCUAA